rnacentral:lncRNA from 1 species
UGAUAUUCCCCUUUUUUUUAAUUAUAGUUACUGUCGCAGGAAGCGGUGAAGAGGAUUCGAAAUCGAAAAAAAUAUUGAAAAUUCCUCCUAUUUUUUUUUUAGAAUUCGAAUCGAAUAGAAUAAGUUAGAAAAGAGAAAGAAUAAAAGAAAAGGUGGAUUUGUACUUCACGAAACUCGAAAUCUGGUAUAGGCUUCAAUGGAAUUGAAUGAAUAAUUCAAUUCCAUUCUUAAUAUUAAGAGAGUAAGACCGGAAAUGGAAAUAGAAUAGUUAGGUUGGCGGCAACAAUAUCAUUUAAGAUACUUAAAUGAAAACCAAAAUACUGUACUGCGUUUCGAAAAAUUGUUUGAAAUCCUUGUUUUGUUUGUAUUACCUCAAUUUUCCGGUAAUAUAUUAAUUGAAACGAAAUUGGAUUUAGAAUUAUCAACUUUUAUUUCUUUGUCAUUCCUUUCUUCGUCGAAUACAAAAAUAGAUAGAGAUAUCCAUUCAUUCUCUUAGAGACCAAAAACGUAAUUGAAGUUCAAUCAGCCAGAAUAAAAGAAUAAUGGAAGUCCCAUUCCCAUAUAGGGAUUGGAUAGAUAACAAAAUUCACAACAAUAAUGUGGGUAUUGCAAAAAAGAUUUGGGUAAGGAUUCAUUGAGAUUGUAAAUUUUGAACAAUACUUUUUUCGUAUGAACCAAGCCAAUAGGAUGAACUGAAAAGGUUAUGCAUCAUGAACUAUGUAACGUUCACAUCAAUAUCUAUUCUAUUAUAUUGCCGCGAA